rnacentral:rRNA from 1 species
UGGGGAUUAUUGGACAAUGGGCGAAAGCCUGAUCCAGCCAUGCCGCGUGUGUGAAGAAGGUCUUCGGAUUGUAAAGCACUUUAAGUUGGGAGGAAGGGCAGUAAGCGAAUACCUUGCUGUUUUGACGUUACCGACAGAAUAAGCACCGGCUAACUCUGCGCCAGCAGCCGCGGUAAUACAGAGGGUGCAAGCGUUAAUCGGAAUUACUGGGCGUAAAGCGCGCGUAGGUGGUUCGUUAAGUUGAAUGUGAAAGCCCCGGGCUCAACCUGGGAACUGCAUCCAAAACUGGCGAGCUAGAGUAGGGCAGAGGGUGGUGGAAUUUCCUGUGUAGCGGUGAAAUGCGUAGAUAUAGGAAGGAACACCAGUGGCGAAGGCGACCACCUGGGCUCAUACUGACACUGAGGUGCGAAAGCGUGGGGAGCAAACAGG